AUUGAACGCUGGCGGCAUGCCUUACACAUGCAAGUCGAACGGCAGCACGGGAGCAAUCCUGGUGGCGAGUGGCGAACGGGUGAGUAAUAUAUCGGAACGUGCCCAGUCGUGGGGAUAACGUAGCGAAAGCUACGCUAAUACCGCAUACGAUCUAUGGAUGAAAGCGGGGGAUCGCAAGACCUCGCGCGAUUGGAGCGGCCGAUAUCAGAUUAGGUAGUUGGUGAGGUAAAGGCUCACCAAGCCGACGAUCUGUAGCUGGUCUGAGAGGACGACAGCCACACUGGGACUGAGACACGGCCCAGACUCCUACGGGAGGCAGCAGUGGGGAAUUUUUGGACAAUGGGCGCAAGCCUGAUCCAGCAAUGCCGCGUGCAGGAUGAAGGCCUGGUGUUAAC
rnacentral:rRNA from 1 species